UGGGGAAUUUUGGACAAUGGGCGCAAGCCUGAUCCAGCCAUGCCGCGUGCAGGAUGAAGGCCUUCGGGUUGUAAACUGCUUUUGUACGGAACGAAAAGGUGCCUUCUAAUAAAGGGCGCUCAUGACGGUACCGUAGAAUAAGCACCGGCUAACUACGUGCCAGCAGCCGCGGUAAUACGUAGGGUGCGAGCGUUAAUCGGAAUUACUGGGCGUAAAGCGUGCGCAGGCGGUUUUGUAAGACAGAGGUGAAAUCCCCGGGCUCAACCUGGGAACUGCCUUUGUGACUGCAAGGCUGGAGUGCGGCAGAGGGGGAUGGAAUUCCGCGUGUAGCAGUGAAAUGCGUAGAUAUGCGGAGGAACACCGAUGGCGAAGGCAAUCCCCUGGGCCUGCACUGACGCUCAUGCACGAAAGCGUGGGGAGCAAACA
rnacentral:rRNA from 1 species